AGCUUACCAUGCAGUCGAACGGAAAGGUCUCUUCGGAGAUACUCGAGUGGCGAACGGGUGAGUAACACGUGGGUGAUCUGCCCUGCACUUCGGGAUAAGCCUGGGAAACUGGGUCUAAUACCGGAUAGGACCACGGGAUGCAUGUCUUGUGGUGGAAAGCGCUUUAGCGGUGUGGGAUGAGCCCGCGGCCUAUCAGCUUGUUGGUGGGGUGACGGCCUACCAAGGCGACGACGGGUAGCCGGCCUGAGAGGGUGUCCGGCCACACUGGGACUGAGAUACGGCCCAGACUCCUACGGGAGGCAGCAGUGGGGAAUAUUGCACAAUGGGCGCAAGCCUGAUGCAGCGACGCCGCGUGGGGGAUGACGGCCUUCGGGUUGUAAACCUCUUUCACCAUCGACGAAGGUCCGGGUUCUCUCGGAUUGACGGUAGGUGGAGAAGAAGCACCGGCCAACUACGUGCCAGCAGCCGCGGUAAUACGUAGGGUGCGAGCGUUGUCCGGAAUUACUGGGCGUAAAGAGCUCGUAGGUGGUUUGUCGCGUUGUUCGUGAAAUCUCACGGCUUAACUGUGAGCGUGCGGGCGAUACGGGCAGACUAGAGUACUGCAGGGGAGACUGGAAUUCCUGGUGUAGCGGUGGAAUGCGCAGAUAUCAGGAGGAACACCGGUGGCGAAGGCGGGUCUCUGGGCAGUAACUGACGCUGAGGAGCGAAAGCGUGGGGAGCGAACAGGAUUAGAUACCCUGGUAGUCCACGCCGUAAACGGUGGGUACUAGGUGUGGGUUUCCUUCCUUGGGAUCCGUGCCGUAGCUAACGCAUUAAGUACCCCGCCUGGGGAGUACGGCCGCAAGGCUAAAACUCAUGAGAAAUUGGCAGCGGA
rnacentral:rRNA from 1 species